AUACGGAGGGUGCAAGCGUUGUUCGGAAUUACUGGGCGUAAAGGGCGUGUAGGCGGGACGGUCAGCUAGAGGUGAAAGCCCGGGGCUCAACCCCGGAGGGUCUUUUAGAACUGCCGUUCUUGAGAAGGUCAGAGGUUAGCGGAAUUCCUGGUGUAGCGGUGAAAUGCGUAGAUAUCAGGAGGAACACCGGUGGCGAAAGCGGCUAACUGGGGCCAUUCUGACGCUGAGGCGCGAAAGCGUGGGGAGCAAACAGGAUUAGAAACCCCAGUAGUCC
rnacentral:rRNA from 1 species